GACGAACGCUGGCGGCGUGCCUAAUACAUGCAAGUUGAGCGCUGAAGGUUGGUACUUGUACCGACUGGAUGAGCAGCGAACGGGUGAGUAACGCGUGGGGAAUCUGCCUUUGAGCGGGGGACAACAUUUGGAAACGAAUGCUAAUACCGCAUAAAAACUUUAAACACAAGUUUUAAGUUUGAAAGAUGCAAUUGCAUCACUCAAAGAUGAUCCCGCGUUGUAUUAGCUAGUUGGUGAGGUAAAGGCUCACCAAGGCGAUGAUACAUAGCCGACCUGAGAGGGUGAUCGGCCACAUUGGGACUGAGACACGGCCCAAACUCCUACGGGAGGCAGCAGUAGGGAAUCUUCGGCAAUGGACGAAAGUCUGACCGAGCAACGCCACGUGAGUGAAGAAGGUUUUCGGAUCGUAAAACUCGGUUGGUAGAGAAGAACGUUGGUGAGAGUGGAAAGCUCAUCAAGUGACGGUAACUACCCAGAAAGGGACGGCUAACUACGUG
rnacentral:rRNA from 1 species